AGUUAAUGAGCUUGAACAAGCAUAUGUUUUGAAAACAUAAGAUGAAUAAAAAACUGUUUAUUAACUU
rnacentral:tRNA from 1 species